rnacentral:rRNA from 1 species
UACGGAGGGUGCGAGCGUUGUCCGGAAUCAUUGGGCGUAAAGAGCUCGUAGGCGGCUUGUCGCGUCGGAUGUGAAAGCCCGGGGCUUAACUCCGGGUCUGCAUUCGAUACGGGCAGGCUAGAGUUCGGUAGGGGAGAUCAGAAUUCCUGGUGUAGCGGUGAAAUGCGCAGAUAUCAGGAGGAACACCGGUGGCGAAGGCGGAUCUCUGGGCCGAUACUGACGCUGAGGAGCGAAAGCGUGGGGAGCGAACAGG